AGACUGGGAUAACUCCGGGAAACCGGGGCUAAUACCGGAUGGUUGUUUGAACCGCAUGGUUCAAACAUAAAAGGUGGCUUCGGCUACCACUUACAGAUGGACCCGCGGCGCAUUAGCUAGUUGGUGAGGUAACGGCUCACCAAGGCAACGAUGCGUAGCCGACCUGAGAGGGUGAUCGGCCACACUGGGACUGAGACACGGCCCAGACUCCUACGGGAGGCAGCAGUAGGGAAUCUUCCGCAAUGGACGAAAGUCUGACGGAGCAACGCCGCGUGAGUGAUGAAGGUUUUCGGAUCGUAAAGCUCUGUUGUUAGGGAAGAACAAGUACCGUUCGAAUAGGGCGGUACCUUGACGGUACCUAACCAGAAAGCCACGGCUAACUACGUGCCAGCAGCCGCGGUAAUACGUAGGUGGCAAGCGUUGUCCGGAAUUAUUGGGCGUAAAGGGCUCGCAGGCGGUUUCUUAAGUCUGAUGUGAAAGCCCCCGGCUCAACCGGGGAGGGUCAUUGGAAACUGGGGAACUUGAGUGCAGAAGAGGAGAGUGGAAUUCCACGUGUAGCGGUGAAAUGCGUAAAGAUGUGGAGGAACACCAGUGGCGAAGGCGACUCUCUGGUCUGUAACUGACGCUGAGGAGCGAAAGCGUGGGGAGCGAACAGGAUUAGAUACCCUGGUAGUCCACGCCGUAAACGAUGAGUGCUAAGUGUUAGGGGGUUUCCGCCCCUUAGUGCUGCAGCUAACGCAUUAAGCACUCCGCCUGGGGAGUACGGUCGCAAGACUGAAACUCAAAGGAAUUGACGGGGGCCCGCACAAGCGGUGGAG
rnacentral:rRNA from 1 species